AGAAUUAACAGUCCUGCUUUCAUGCCUUUGCUUGCCACCCAGCUUAGCCUCUUAUCUCAGCUUCUGAAACAUUCUUCAAUCUUCUGAAGGUGGCAGCUGUUAAUACAGAACUUGAUGAGGAAGAUGCCAGCAUCUCACCUGGAAUUCACAAAACCCUAGCCAGCCCUAACUCACAAGGGCCUGCACACCCUUUAAUCCAGCAAAAUUAACUCAAGAGCAUGUGGGACCUGAAAUCCAGUCUCUGCAUAUUAUUGCAAGUGCUUCAAGCAAAGAAAAGAACCUGAUUUCACAUUUGAGAUGCAUUUUAAACCAAAGGUCUGUUCUGGUACCUCCACAAGGAAGCAUCAAUCGGACCACAGAAAAUUUACAUCCAGGGAUUUGUCUUCUGGAAUGGAUCUCACUGACCUACAAGAAUUGAAUUUGCCCGUGUCUUCACAACACCUUGUUAGUGGUAUCAAAUCAGGAGAUUGAAGUGAGCCAUAGUGAGAGUAUGGACACCACAGAAAUCAACUUACAUAUCAAGGCUUUUUCUUUAUU
rnacentral:lncRNA from 1 species